AGGAGAGGGGCGGGGAUGGAGCUGGUGGGAGUUGCUGGGGCUCCCUCGGUGCCGCGGGGUUGGGCGGGCCCGGGGCGGGCCCUGAGCGCGAGCCGGUGCUUGAGGGCCGGGGCGGUGCCUCCGCGGCCGCUGCUCCGCGGCCGUUCCCGGGGCGGGGCGGCCCCCCCCGGGCCGGGGGAGCUGCAGGGCCGGGAGGAGCCGAGAGGAGCGCGGCUGUGGGGCGGCCCCGGGCCGGGUAAACACACCGAGAUUCCUGCGGCCCUUCAGGCAAACUAUCAUGACUCUGAGGAUAAGACUGUGGAUACAGUCAGUACUGAAAACUCACCAAGUUGUUCCAGGACAAUAGAUUCCCUGCAACAGAAGAUUGCAGAAUGUGAGAAGAGGAAUGCCAAGUCACAGGAAAGCCGUAGCUUUUAUAUUUUUAAGCGAUACUUGAAUAAAAUUUUAAAUGAAGCUGGAAAACUUGGCCUUCCUGACGAAAACGUGGGCCAAGUCCACUACGACGCUGAGAUCAUCCUUACAAAACAGACAUAUCUGGAGAUCCUCAGGUUUCUCAAUGAGGAAAGCUGGCAGCCAGGUGCCAUGGAUGAUGCACUUAGUGAUAUUUUGAUCAAUUUUAAGCACCAUGAUUAUCAAGCUUGGCACUGGAGAUUUGAGGACACUUUUGGAAUUGACCUAUAUAAUUUGUUUUUGCUACUCUUGUGCUUAGUGUGCAUUGUAACUGUAAUAGCUACAGAGCUCUGGACACGUAUCCUUUGGUUUGUUCAGCUAAAACGUCUUUUGUUAAUAAGUUUUUUCAUCAGUUUUGCAUGGAAUUGGCUUUACUUGUAUAAGUUGGCCUUUGCACAGCAUCAAGCAGAAAUUGCGAAAAUGGGCCACUUUGAUAACAUCUGUGCUGAGAAGUUGGACUGGCGAGAAAGUCUUUUUGAAUGGCUUAGAAGCACAUGGACAUUACAGGACGAUCCCUGUCAGAAGUAUUAUGAAACUCUACUUGUAAAUCCUAUUUUGCUGGUUCCACCAACAAAGGCCUUGGCAAUUACUUUCACCAACUUUGUAACUGAGCCUUUGAAGCACGUAGGGCAAGGUAUUGGUGAAUUCAUCAAGGCACUGAUGAAGGAGAUUCCGUUCGUUCUGCAGGUUCCAGUACUAAUUAUGAUGGCUCUGGCUGUCCUGGCUUUUUGCUAUGGUGCAGGAUCAUCGGUGUCUGCGUUAAGAUACUUAACAUCUUCUCAGAAGAAAAGUCUUCCUCCACCUGAUAGUCAACAGGAGCAAAUAGGCUUUGGGCAGUACGAUGGGAGGCAAUCAGAGGACUAUUACUUGCAGAAGCACCCAUAUGUGUACAGAGGACACCAGGACAGAGGAGAUGGCUCUGCGAGACCUCCCCUCACUGUGAGAGCAGCGAAUGGCAGCAGGAACCCCGACACAGCACAGACCAGCAAUGAGCCGGACACACACGUACAAGAGUCUCACAAACCAGAACCUAAUAAUAGGUUGUACACUGAGUCUGAAGUUCAUAGACUAGAAACUCUCAAAGCGGAAAACCAUACUGAGGAACCUGCAGUUGAGCAGCAGAAACAGGAGACAGGCAAAGCAGAGCGAGAGGCUGGAGAAAACUGUGAUCCCAAUAAAAACCUAGAAGGGAAAAGCUCUGUGAUGGAGCAACGUGAAGAGAAGGAAAAGAGCAUUUUACGCGACUCCCAGGAAGGAGACUAAGGAAGGCCCGAGCUCUGCUGUGGAGUAGAGGAUUUUGCCACUGAAGCAGCUGGGAGUCUGUUCUUCUCCUGGAAGUAGCACCUCUGGUCGUCCAUUCUGUUGCUCUGGAAUCGACUCAGCAGAUCAAAGAACCCUUCAUCUGCCAUUGUCUCUCGACUGCUUUUCUGAAAAGGAGAAAAGAUUUAGAGAGGCAAUGCUGACAGGAGAAGAUGUAGAGACAGUCACUCAUCAAUUGGUCUUUCAUCUCAGACUCAUUAACUGCAAUACCUUCACGAGGAACUUUGGUUUUCCAUAUGAAAACCAGAGCCCAGCACUGCAGGGAAUUCACAUUAAUUCAGCUGUCACAUACCGAACAAUGACAGCAGAGCUGGAGGUAACAGGAUUUGCUGUAAGUGUCACACAUACAUGAAACAGUGUCUUAGGGCUUACUUAUCAUUUAAUUCCUGAGCAAUCACCAGGUGUUUCAGAUGAUAAUCGAUGGCUUUCUCGUAGUCCUGGAGCAGAGUGUACGUGUUCCCGAGGCUGUAGCAGGCCUGUGCUUCCACAGCUCUGUCCUUCAGCUGCCGAGCCAGCUGCAGCGUCCUCCUGGAAGAAAGGGUUAGUCACCUCAAAAAUCACUGCAAGGAAAACCUUUCAAAAGUAUCCCUGCACACCUAAAAAUCAGUUAUACAACUUAAACAAAUUAGGAAACCUGGCUGGCAAAUUACCGGCUAAUAAAUUACUUACUAUAUUGUAAACUCUUGCCUUGCCCUUCUCAAAGUAUUUCCAUCUAUUUCAUUCAAGGGCAGGCUGAUCCCUCAAACAGCAUCUUUUAAUCUUAAUUUAUUGCUUCAUUAAUAAUUUGUAGGAGUUUCCCUGACAGUAUGCAAAUUGACACAGUUUAGUACCAGUGUUACAAUAAUGACUUGCCCAUCAGCAGAAGCAAGGCAGGGCUAUACUCACCAAGCCAGCUUGACCCUGCUGGGCAAGAAGAAUUCAAGUGCUAAGAUGAAUCUGCUCAGUACUGAGGCUUUUUUCCCUUUCAAAAAGAACAGGUAAGCUCUGAGAUCCAAGUAAGAUGCUAAUAACACCUGUACUGUAUCUUUGCCAAGCUUUUACUUUCCCAAGUACAGCAGCAACUCUUUAGUGGUGCAGAGGUCAAGAAAAAAGCCUGGAUUAAAAAUACAGACUCAAGAUGUAAAUUUGUGUUGCCAUGCACCACCUCUCUCAGCUACUGAGCACACCCAAGGCAGCCACCCAACUCAGGGUAGAAAAGUUACUCAGAUCCUUCCAGAACUCGCUAAGAGCCAAGACAGUAAUGCCUGGUUCUAAAAUAAAUGGGAACAAAUGCCUAGGAACAGAAAGAUGUCUGUCUACAGUGCUGAGAGGAAUCUAUUUAGAGUAACAAAAGAGUUAAAAAACAACAAAAAAAAUACUAAUCCCACGCUUAAAAGAAUCAGAAUAGUUAAACAGCUAGGAAAAAUAUUUUUGCCAAACAAACAGAAGUUUUAUUCCUAAGUAUAUGUUCAAGAUGGCUAUUCUACAGUGAGCUACAGUACCAGACACAACAAGUAAACUGUACAAGAGGUAUAAAUUGUAUUUAGAAGAAGUCAACUAACUUGUAGUAUUCUGAAGCGGUUUCAAAUUCCCCCAGGAAUAUGUAGGCGUUUCCAAGGUUGCUGUACGCUCUUCUUUCCGCUGAUCUAUCACCAAAUUCUUUUGCAAUUAGGAGACGCUUAAAAAUGUGAAAUAAUUGCAUUAUUUACUCCAUUUUAUACUUUGUAACAUACAUUUGCAUACAGAAAUGCACAUGAAAAAAUGCAUUCUUUAGGUCAGCAAUGCUUGAUAAGAACAGCCAAACUUGAACUUCUGCCAUUAAGAUUUAAAACCUGCAUUAAAAAGCUUGCAACAAGAUCCAACACAACGCAUGUACUAAAGGCCAGGAGCAACCAGUGACAUUCUGCUAGAACAGAAAUCCUUAUUAGCACAUGUUGUACCUGUUCAUGGGCUAAAACUGCACUCCUGAAGUUGCCCAGAAGAUAGUGUGUGUUUCCCAGAUUUCCAAAGGCACGUCCUUGUGCUGCUCUGUCACCCAGCUCUGUUACUAUUGUCAGAUUUUCCCUGUUUUGGGGGAAAGUGAGAAGAAGAAUAGUGACUUUUAAGAGGUUUUUUUUCCUCACGUUCAUUUAAAUAGUAAUUUAAAAAAUCUUUAUAUAAAGGAAAAGGUAGAGAUAUUCUAUUUUGGCCUAUUUCAAUGGCCUUUAUGCAGCCACAGAUCUGAGUAGGAAACAUUUCCUGUGAAGUACUGAACUCCACUGCAUUCUUACUCAAACCAGUGUGCUCACCUCUAGUUACAUAUACAAGUAUAACAAGGUCCUGUCAACUCAGCCUGGUCUGAAGAGCACUACUGGUUUCUAACCUAAGGGAAGGACUUGUGAGGUGCACUAAAAAUGAGGGCAAACAAAAACCAGUGGACUCUGCCACUGAAAACAACAAAUUCACAGGUACCUCAGUUCUGCAUAGAAGUGUUCCACAGUUUAGCUCAUGACACUACAAAUCUCCCAUAUUCUAAUGAACUACAUGAUCAUAUCCUCCCAAUCCCCAACAUUUACUUACUCAUAAUAAUUUGCAGCUUUUUGUAAAGCAUUUUUCACAUCAUCUGGAAGGUCCCCUGGAUCGUGAGUCCCCGCACUAGCUACAUUUUUCCCCUUAGAGUGAUACACAUUUCCCAGAUUAUACAGUGCUCUUGCUUCUCCAACCUAAACCAAAAGUAAAACAAGGCAUUAAAAUUUCAUGCUUCAAAGUCUUUUGUCACAACAACUAUUUGUACAAUCCACGGAUAGGAAAAAAGUUUGUUAACUACUCAUCAAGACACACUCUGCCCAUUCUGAACAUGCUCUUACCAUCCACCCAGUCAUACCCCUCAAUCCAAUUCUUUUGCAUACUACUUCCUUUUGAGGUGCAAGAGACAGAAUAAUUCCUGAGGUCACUCACCAUUAAAAAUUAAAUUAAGAACAGACUCACCACAACAUAGGAUAAUAUUUAACCUGGAUCUGUAGCUUUCCAGGUGCAAACAAUUAUAUUACAACUAAUAGAGUAUUACUGUCUAGAAGAAAUAAUUGAAUAUUCAGUAUUUAUUUCUCUCUGAAAGGGGCACACUCCUUACCAGUACAACAGCAUUCAGGAAUGUGUGUUAGCAGUUUACUUCCAUAUUCCCACACAAUUCUUACCUUAUCAUUAAGCUCUCUGGAAAUAUCCAGAUGUCUUUGACAGCAAACGAUAGCUUCUUCAAAAUUCCCAAGUACCUUUAAGGUGUUGCCCAGAUUCCCACUAGCUUUAGCUUCUCCCAGUAGAUCUCCAAUUGUCCUAAAAUUGCAGAAAUUAAGUACCCAGGAAAUAGUGUACAAUUUGAAACCAAGCAGAUGAUCGAUGUAUGGCAGACAAUUACAUGAAUUUAUGAUCAUCUGCUUAACAUUUUUUAAAAGUUCAUGUCUUUUAUGAAGAGAACAGAGAGAAAAUUCUUAAUGAUGAUGUUGAAAGACAGUCCCAGUAUUAGAAAUAGAGAUUUAACUGUGUCUGUAUUUUACUUGACUGUCAUAGUCUCCUGUUACUUCCAAGACACACCAGUCUCCCAGAAAGCUCAGAGGCACCAGGACAUUGCUAGAUGCUAAAUGAGACUAAGGCAAGAGACUGCCACUGAACCACUGACUCGUACCUGGGGAAUAACACAACAAAUUCCCACAAGAUCACAGCACUUGAGCAGGCUAAGGCAGGGGGAAGAAUAGAUUUAUGCCUAAAUUGAGGUUAAGUACAUUAGGUGCCUGUGUCUUUUAAUGGAUCUAUACCAAAUCAGUAAAACUCAGAUGCAUAAAUAGCAUAUGAAAUGCACAGGGUUUUAGAUUUCACAAUAUUACACUAUGAGUUUCACACAGAUAAACAUGAAUAGGUUCUGUCCAGCAAACAAGAGAGCAGUUUAACAUUCUGGAGAACCAGAAAGACUGAGUUUUAGAAACAGGAAAGGGUAAAGAAAGGGUGGAUUUAAAGAAGCCACUUAAUUAUCCACAACCCUGGUGAGGCCUCAGUUCUAGGAUUAUGGUGCUAGACCAAGUAUUAGCUGCCAGGUUAGAGGCCAACCAAGUGACCUGCCAGACCCCCAGCCCUCUGCCACCACCACGUUCACUCAUUAGCCAGUAUUAAUAGUAGGGUUUGGCAGGAAAAGGAGCAGCCAGCUGCUCAUCUCUACGGGAAUGGGAUGACAUGGAGAACAUGGUUAAGGACACAAGAUUACCUUGCAAGAGUUAAAUCAUGGUGGUGGUAUUCCAAGGCCUUUGCAUAUUCAUGCAGGUAGAAAUAAGCAUUGCCCAGCUGGCUGUAAAUAGCACUCAGGGUACGUAAAUCUUCAGUCCCAACCUGGACAGCGGCUUCAAAGAACGACACACCAGCCCGGCAAUCUCCUGCUUUGCACAGGCGCUCACCUUCCAGAGCCAGCUCCAGGCAGGAAGCCUCCAUCCUGCACAAUGGAAACAAGCAAACAGUCACUCAAAUGCAGUACUUUGUCCAUCACCUGAGUUCUGAAGAGGGUCUUUUACUCACAGGGCUUCUAUUUGUUUAGGAAAGGGAGUUAGCCCCACAGUACAACCAGUGAGCUCUGCAUUAUAAUAUUACAGAAACUUGGGCUGAAAUGGGAGUUGCAACUUCAAUGGUGAUGAGUAAACUUAACAUUACAACAAACA